CCUACGGGAGGCAGCAGUGGGGAAUAUUGCACACUGGGGGAAACCCUGAUGCAGCGACGCCGCGUGAGUGAAGGAGCGUUUCGGCGCGUAAAGCUCUAUCGGCAGGGAAGAAGAUGACGGUACCUGACCAAGAAGCCCCGGCUAACUACGUGCCAGCAGCCGCGGUAAUACGUAGGGGGCAAGCGUUAUCCGGAUUUCCUGGGUGUAAAGGGGGCGCAGACGGCAGUGCAAGCCUGGAGUGAAAGCCCUGGGCUCAACCCCGGCACUGCUGUUGAAACUGACUGGCUGGAGUGCAGGAGGGGUAUGCGGAAUUCCUAGUGUAGCGGUGAAAUGCGUAGAGAUUAGGAGGAACACCAGUGGCGAAGGCGGCUUGCUGGACUGUAACUGACGUUGAGGCUCGAAGGCGUGGGGAGCAAACAGGAUUAGAUACCCUAGUAGUC
rnacentral:rRNA from 1 species